GUUCAGCUGUGGGUCCUACAUUUGCAGCUGCUUCCCUCUCUGCAUAUACCCCAUGGUCGUGGGGUGUGGUCAGCAGCAAUGCUUUUCUGCACACUGCCUUCCUCAAGGCAUACCAAUGCGGAUUCUGCCACCUCAGGCUCGCUGUGCCCAUAAUGAAGGCUUUUGAGCAACAUAGGGCACAUCGGGACAGUCCAGAAGGUGCCUAACAACCUUAGGCAGAGCUAGAUUCUCCUUAACUGCCACCAGAAAGCUUUAAAAAAUAAAAAAAUAAUAAAAAAAAAACCUUUGAAAAUUAGUGGACAUCUCUCUGUGGGAAUCUAGGGUACACGUGGCAUAUGCCAUGUUACAUGUAGCACCAUCGGUAUUGUCUUCUGCUGCCCCCACCACAGAUCCCUAAUGGGACUUGGGAGCCACUAGGAUCAUCCCCCCGGUCCAAAAAGGUGGGGGAGGGCAUAACUUUGCAGGAUUCAGGGCCCAUCUGCAUCAGGCCAGGAUAUCAGCUGCCUCUCCCCUCCUUGGCG